AUUGAACGCUGGCGGCAUGCUUUACACAUGCAAGUCGAACGGCAGCGCGGGCUUCGGCCUGGCGGCGAGUGGCGAACGGGUGAGUAAUGCAUCGGAACGUGCCCAGUAGUGGGGGAUAGCCCGGCGAAAGCCGGAUUAAUACCGCAUACGACCUGAGGGUGAAAGCGGGGGACCGAAAGGCCUCGCGCUAUUGGAGCGGCCGAUGUCGGAUUAGCUAGUUGGUGGGGUAAAGGCUUACCAAGGCGACGAUCCGUAGCUGGUCUGAGAGGACGACCAGCCACACUGGGACUGAGACACGGCCCAGACUCCUACGGGAGGCAGCAGUGGGGAAUUUUGGACAAUGGGGGCAACCCUGAUCCAGCCAUGCCGCGUGCGAGAUGAAGGCCUUCGGGUUGUAAACCGCUUUUGUUCGGGAAGAAAUCCUCUGGGCUAAUACCCCGGGGGGAUGACGGUACCGGAAGAAUAAGCACCGGCUAACUACGUG
rnacentral:rRNA from 1 species